AAAUUUAAAAAAAUAUUAAACAUUAACUUGGCUGGAUCUUGUACAAGGAAAACAAAGCCAUUAACUUGGCAACCAUACAUCUGAAAUAAGCAUAUGAAAUUGAAGUUCAAAAUAAUCAAAGAAAAUGAAGCUUCAAAAUGUGUGACAUUGAACACAUAAUCAAUUACAAAAAAGUUGCUAUGUUUUGGCACUAAAAGCAACCGCAAGCCACAACUACCAGCAUGUCAAGGAUUAAAUUUGUUUUGGCACUAAAAGUAAACCACAAGUCACAAGAACCAGCAUGUCAAGGAUUGAAUUUGUUUGGGC
rnacentral:lncRNA from 1 species